UUAAUAGCUUUCUAGUUGAGAGGGCACUUUUAGGUACUUGAAUGGCAGUGUACCCAAAGACAGUCCUAAGUCAGUCAGGAUUUUAUCUCUAAAACCAGCUUCUACUCAUGCAAUAUAUAGUGAGAUCUGUUCCAUAUUUGCAUGAAGGCCUGAUACUCUAUAAAACUAUUGGAAUGUAUUAAAUAGAAAAUUGAUUGAAAUUUUAUCAGCCCUGCAACUCAUUAACUAGUCAUCAGCAAAACAUAUAUGGAUCAUAGCUAGUUUUUCACACCUGAGGUGAUAGUUGAAUUAUGGAUUAUGUUUCAGUUGUUGCAGGUUUCCAUUAUUAGGACAAAUAAGUAAGGUGACAUAGGAUCCCCUUACCUAAGUCCUUUCUUUACUUAGAACUGUGGGGUCAAGCCACCAUUGAUAAGGAUACUGUACUGGACUGUAGUGACACACUUCAUUAUCAAGUCUAUCAUCUUAGUAGCAGUCCAAAUUCUAGCACUACCAUUCUUAUAAAUGGCUAUUCUAUAUAUUCAUAAGCUUUUUUAAUGUCAACUUUUAUUAUACUCCUGGCAGAGACACUCUUUUGGGAAUAUCCUUUAACAAGUUCAUGAGCAAGCACAACAUUGUCACGAAUACUUCUACCCUCUAUAAAAGUUGAUUGUGCGGGGCUCACUAGAGUGUCAAUAACUAUUUUAACCUAGUAAUCAGUAUCUUAGCAAUCAACUUGUAUAAUGUAGUACAACAUGCAAUAGGCCUAUACUCUUUGACAUAAGUAGGGGUAGGGACUUUUGGGACCAGGUUAAUAGUAGUACUGCUGAUAGGUUUAAUAGUUUACCAUUCUCAAAAAAUUGAACUACCCCCGUAGUUACCUCUUCUCCUAUAAUAUGCCAAUAAGUUUUGAAAAAUUCAGCAUUGAAGCCAUCUAUACCUGAACUCUUGUCAAGAGGAAGAUCCUUUAAGGUUUGGUAUGCAUCCUUCUUGGUUAUUGGGAGCCUGAGAUGUUCUUGUUGAGAUAUUAUGAGACAAGACCCAUCUCUUUCUACACAAAUGUUAAUGCAAGGAAAAAUAAUAUACGAACGCUGCAACACCACCAACAGUGCAACAUCAACACCACCGAAAAAAUUCUUGAUGCCAUCGCUUAAUUCUCAAAUGAAGCAGAUUUUUUUCUUAAUUGUUGGGUGUUGUUUUGGUAGAAAAUGGAGGAGUAAGAGUGAAUUUUAAUGGUGGAAGAAUAGAAGAAGAAGAAGACAAAAAAAAAUAAAGUUUUCUUUUCAAAUCUUUGCUAAGAAGACAUAGUUCACUAAUCCAAGUGAAUGUAGUGAUGUGAGCGUUCAGAAAUUGAAGGAAUGACUCCUUUGCUUUACUGUGGGUAGAAUCGUACAUUCCUCAUGAACUGGGAGCAGGUAAGUUUAAGCAGGUUCCGACGUGCUGAUUUGGUGAGUGAACAGUCUUUUGGUUGUAGAGCUUUUGGUGGACAAUUUUAUGAGCCAUCUUUCGAUUGGAUUCUUAUUGUUUGGCUUUUCCUUUGAUGAUGUACACAUGCUCUUCGGUGAAAGAGAUCUUUGAUGCUAUAUUACAAAACAAGAAAGUCUCUUAUGCUUUGACUAAAAAAAAAAUUAUUAUUA